CACGGUCCAGACUCCUACGGGAGGCAGCAGUAGGGAGUAUUUGGCAAUGGGGGAAACCCUGACCGAGCAACGCCGCGUGUGCGAUGGAGUCCCUCAGGGACGUGAAGCACUGUGGGGGGCCGCCAAACGGGCGGGCAGGAAAUGGCCCGUCCCCGAGGAGCCCCCUAGAAAGCGACUGCUAACCACGUGCCAGCAGCAGCGGUAAUACGUGGGUCGCAAGCGUUAUCCGGAAUCAUUGGGCGUAAAGAGUGAGCAGGCGGUCCGGGAAGUCCGCGGUGAAAUGCGGGGGCUCAACCCCCGCAGGCCGCGGAUACUUCCGGUCUGGGGUGCGGGAGAGGCGGACGGAACUCCGCGUGUAGCGGUGAAAUGCACUGAUACGCGGAAGAACACCGGUGGCGAAGGCGGUCCGCCAGACCGAUACCGACGCUCAGUCACGAAAGCGUGGGGAGCAAAUAGGAUUAGAUACCCUAGUAGUCCACGCCGUAAACGAUGGGGGCCAGGGCGCGGGGUCGACCCGCGUCCGAAGCAAACGCAUUAAGCCCCCCGCCUGGGUACUACGUUCGCAAGAAUAAAACUUAAAGGAAUUGGCGGGUGCCCGCACAAGCAGUGGAGCAUGCGGUUCAAUUCGUGGCUACACGUAGAACCUUACCAGGGUUUGACAUGCCGGCAAAGGCCCCGGAGACGGGGAGAUAGCUAUGCCGGACAAAGGUGGUGCAUGGCUGUCGUCAGCUCGUGUCGUGAGAUGUUAGGUCAAGUCCUCCAACGAGCGCGACCCCCGCCGCCAGUUGCCAUCAUCGAGUUGGGCACUCUGGCGGGACCGCCGGCGACAAGCCGGAGGAAGGCGGGGAUGACGUCAAGUCAUCAUGCCCCUUAUGCCCUGGGCCACACGCGUGCUACAAUGGCCGGCACAGUGGGAAGCGACGCCGCGAGGCGGAGCGGAUCCCAAAAGCCGGUCCCAGUACGGACCGGGGGCUGCAACCCGCCCCCGCGAAGCUGGAAUUGCUAGUAAUCGCGGAUCAGCCAAGCCGCGGUGAAUGCGUUCUCGGGCAUUGCACACACUGCCCGUCACACCAUGAAAGCCUGCAACGCUCUAAGUCGCCAGCCCGACCCGCGAGGGGGGGCGGCGCCCAAGGCGGGGCCGGUGAUUGGGGUUAAGUCGAAACAAGGUAUCCCUACGAGAACGUGGGGAUG
rnacentral:rRNA from 1 species